CCAAAAUUCCCACGAUCUAAUCCUAGAGUCCGCCGCCCCAACCCAAGUCCCGCUCCGCCUUCUUCCCGGCGGCAGCCGGCGUCGCCGCCCCGACCCGAACUCCCGCUGCUCCUUCUUCCCGGCGGCAGCCCGCAUCACCACCCAUCCUUCUUCCCCGGCGGCAGACCGAAUCGCCGUGCGCCUCCUUCCUAGGCAGCAGCAUCGCCUUCUUCCCCUCCGGAAAAACCGCAUCCCGCGCCUCCACCUUCUUCCCCGGGCUGCACUAGGGCUUCACCACGCCGCCCAGGCUUCUGCUGUCCUAGGGUCGCCUUUCCCCUGCAGCCCAACACGACGCCUGCGGGGAAGUGGGUCACGUGCCGCCCAUACCUCCUAGCCUACGCGGCCCCGACUAGGACGCAUCCGCCCAUGCCUGCCCUGCUCGCCAGAGAAGGAGAGCAAGGCAGUGGGUCUCGCCUAGGUUCCCCUCCGAUUUGCUACAAGAUGAGAAUGCAUCUGCAGCAGUUCGCUGGAAGUCUUUUCUCAAUUCAAAUCUUCCCGUAUUUGUAGUUCGUUUUCUUAUGCAAUGAAGCCCCCUUCAUAGGUACAGACUAAGCCAUCGUAGGGUAAAGCAUUUCCUACGAUUUGGUUUGCUGCUUGCGUACUGCUUCAAGAAUUUUUGCUGGCUACUUAUGGGUGGCGCGUCCUAAACUCCCUCUGUCGUCGGCCUGAACUCUUGCUGGUGCAUGCCCAAACUUUCUGAAGGCGCUGGGUCUUGGCUGGCCAAGUAGAAGCUCACGUCCGGGCGCAUAUGGUCGAGUCUAGGCAGAAUCUCGUUUGGCAGCAUCACAUGCGUGAGAUGAACUAUACCGAGCACAUAUAUGAACUCCGGGUAGUGCGUCUGAAAUCAACCGCCAAUGGUUGCUGUGGAGCAGGCAGUCCGGUGGUGUGCGGUCAGGAAGCUAGUUCUGGCUCAUGGCCGGUCUGGUGAGACUCUGGUCCGUCAUGUGACCAGUGAGCUCAAAUAAUAGAUUUUGGGGAAGUUCAGAUUGUUACGGACUAAAGCCCACUGUGCAGCUAACAAGUAACCAAAACUUGAGCGUGAUUCUUUGAGUAGAAUUCUCACAUGGCAUCCCUGCAAAGAAGGAGUCAUGGGUAAUUUCUCCUACCGAGGCAAGCGUCAUGGUGGUCGCUUGCACUACAAUCAUUGCUAAGGCUGUGGCGUCCUCUUUGUCAGCCAAGUACUGGUGCGCCAACUAGUUCUUCAACGAGAGACGGUGUUGUUCAUGAGGAUUAAGAAAACACACACCAAAAUUGGAACACCAUUCUUUUCUUGUCUGGAGUUCACUUUCUAUAUGUGGGGAAUUCAGUACAAGUGCAUCUAAAAAAUGCAAUAGAAGAGUGUGGUUCUGAAGUUCACUAUUUUAUGAGUUGGAAGGUGAAGAACUUCCACGUAAAUUUGAUUAGCAAAAUUCCUCAAUACACGGCUGUAUUUUCUGCAGUUGGAAGGCGAAGAAACUGCAGGUAAAUUCGAUUAGCAAAAUUCCUCAAUACACUGAUGUAUUUGUGUUCUCUGCUACAGCGGGAAGCUCUUCCCCUCUGUUGUACUCUGCAUCUUUUUCUUUGAGCCAAGUUACUAUUGCUGCUGUUAACUUUGAGCGAAUGGGAAGUUCAGUUUUUAACGUGCUGAAGUUCAAUUCAU